rnacentral:rRNA from 1 species
AGAGUUUGAUCCUGGCUCAGGAUGAACGCUAGCUACAGGCUUAACACAUGCAAGUCGAGGGGCAGCAUUUUAGUUUGCUUGCAAACUAAAGAUGGCGACCGGCGCACGGGUGAGUAACACGUAUCCAACCUGCCGAUAACUCGGGGAUAGCCUUUCGAAAGAAAGAUUAAUAUCCGAUAGUAUAUUAAAACCGCAUGGUUUUACUAUUAAAGAAUUUCGGUUAUCGAUGGGGAUGCGUUCCAUUAGUUUGUUGGCGGGGUAACGGCCCACCAAGACUACGAUGGAUAGGGGUUCUGAGAGGAAGGUCCCCCACAUUGGAACUGAGACACGGUCCAAACUCCUACGGGAGGCAGCAGUGAGGAAUAUUGGUCAAUGGACGAGAGUCUGAACCAGCCAAGUAGCGUGAAGGAUGACUGCCCUAUGGGUUGUAAACUUCUUUUAUAUGGGAAUAAAGUAUUCCACGUGUGGGAUUUUGUAUGUACCAUAUGAAUAAGGAUCGGCUAACUCCGUGCCAGCAGCCGCGGUAAUACGGAGGAUCCGAGCGUUAUCCGGAUUUAUUGGGUUUAAAGGGAGCGUAGGUGGAUUGUUAAGUCAGUUGUGAAAGUUUGCGGCUCAACCGUAAAAUUGCAGUUGAAACUGGCAGUCUUGAGUACAGUAGAGGUGGGCGGAAUUCGUGGUGUAGCGGUGAAAUGCUUAGAUAUCACGAAGAACUCCGAUUGCGAAGGCAGCUCACUAGACUGCAACUGACACUGAUGCUCGAAAGUGUGGGUAUCAAACAGGAUUAGAUACCCUGGUAGUCCACACAGUAAACGAUGAAUACUCGCUGUUUGCGAUAUACAGUAAGCGGCCAAGCGAAAGCAUUAAGUAUUCCACCUGGGGAGUACGCCGGCAACGGUGAAACUCAAAGGAGUUGACGGGGGCCCGCACAAGCGGAGGAACAUGUGGUUUAAUUCGAUGAUACGCGAGGAACCUUACCCGGGCUUAAAUUGCAUUUGAAUAAUCUGGAAACAGGUUAGCCGCAAGGCAAAUGUGAAGGUGCUGCAUGGUUGUCGUCAGCUCGUGCCGUGAGGUGUCGGCUUAAGUGCCAUAACGAGCGCAACCCUUAUCUUUAGUUACUAACAGGUCAUGCUGAGGACUCUAGAGAGACUGCCGUCGUAAGAUGUGAGGAAGGUGGGGAUGACGUCAAAUCAGCACGGCCCUUACGUCCGGGGCUACACACGUGUUACAAUGGGGGGUACAGAAGGCAGCUACCUGGCGACAGGAUGCUAAUCCCAAAAACCUCUCUCAGUUCGGAUCGAAGUCUGCAACCCGACUUCGUGAAGCUGGAUUCGCUAGUAAUCGCGCAUCAGCCAUGGCGCGGUGAAUACGUUCCCGGGCCUUGUACACACCGCCCGUCAAGCCAUGAAAGCCGGGGGUACCUGAAGUACGUAACCGCAAGGAGCGUCCUAGGGUAAAACUGGUAAUUGGGGCUAAGUCGUAACAAGGUA